rnacentral:lncRNA from 1 species
UGUGAAGGUUUCAAAUGAGAAACAAGUGGAACGAAGUUGAGAUGUAUGAAUAGCUUCUACAGUGAAUGUCUCUUUUGCGUCGGCAAGUUCAUUUUCAAUGGCCUUAGAUAUGACCUUUGUUUGUAAACCUGACCAAGCUAUAACCGGAAAAGACCUUAGUGAUCUUCGUGCUUCCGCAUUUUCAUUUAUAGUUGUUAGACAUUGUAUGAAUUGAAUUGACUUUUACAUUGUUUGUUGGAG